rnacentral:sRNA from 1 species
AAUCUAUCAAAUCCACACACACGUGAACCAUCCUGUUGACCAUCUGUGUGCACCAUGUGUGCCCACAGAUUGGGGUGGAAGCCGUCACAAGCAUUCAUCCCAGGCGUCUAUGCAUCUCGCAUGCAUAGGCUCAGGUCUUUACUAACUCAACCAACUAUCUAACUAAAAUAAAUAAAACCGAUUGUAUGGCUAAGAGUCAUGCAUUCACUAACCAAGACAACCUUCAACAACGGAUAUCUUGGCUCUCGGAUCGAUGAAGAACGCAGCGAAAUGCGAUACGUAGUGUGAAUUGCAGAAAUACGUGAAUCAUCGAAUCUUUGAACGCAAAUUGCGCUCGAGGCUUCGGCCAAGAGCAUGUCUGCCUCAGCGUCGGGUUAAAACUCACACUACCCAACCGGGUAUGUUGUGGAACUGGCUGUCUCAGCAUGCAUACGCAAGCUGGGUCAGCUGAAGUGCAGAUGUCAACACAUGGACCCGCUAAUGGGCCUCUACUGGGUAGGCAAUUUAUUGCUACAUGCUUUAGUAGAUGGCUUAGGAUCUGUGACGUGGACACAAAACAGGAGCAUGCCUUGUGCAUGCUACAUGUACCUUUUUUCGACCUGAGCUCAGGCAAGA